rnacentral:rRNA from 1 species
AUUGAACGCUGGCUGCAGGCCUAACACAUGCCAGUCGAGCGAGCGGCGGACGGGUGAGUAAUGUCUGGGACACUGCCUGAUGGAGGGGGAUAACUACUGGAAACGGUAGCUAAUACCGCAUACCCUCAGAUGUGCCCAGAUGGGAUUAGCUAGGAGGUGGGGUAACGGCUCACCUAGGCACCGAUCCCUAGCUGGUCUGAGGUGAUGACAAGCCACACUGGAACUGGGACACGGUCCAGACUCCGACGGGAGGCAGCAGUGGGGAAUAUGGCACAAUGGGCGCAAGCCGGAUGCAGCCAUGCCGCGUGUGUGAAGAAGGCCUUAGGGUUGUAAAGCACUUUCAGCGGGGAGGCGUUACCCGCAGAAGAAGCACCGGCUAACUCCGUGCCAGCAGCCGCGGUAAUAC